GGGCUCGCUUCGGCAGCACAUAUACUAAAAUUGGCAUGAUACAGAGAAGAUUAGCAUGGCCCCUGCGCAAAGUUGUUGCACCUACCUGGGUGUCUCUUGUGAUCUGC
ensembl:snRNA U6 U6 spliceosomal RNA